AGGAUCAUUAAAGAAAUUUAAUAAUUUUGAAAAUGGAUUUUUUUGUUUUGGCAAGAGCAUGAGAGCUUUUACUGGGCAAGAAGACAAGAGAUGGAGAGUCCAGCCGGGCCUGCGCUUAAGUGCGCGGUCUUGCUAGGCUUGUAAGUUUCUUUCUUGCUAUUCCAAACGGUGAGAGAUUUCUGUGCUUUUGUUAUAGGACAAUUAAAACCGUUUCAAUACAACACACUGUGGAGUUUUCAUAUCUUUGCAACUUUUUCUUUGGGCAUUCGAGCAAUCGGGGCCCAGAGGUAACAAACACAAACAAUUUUAUCUAUUCAUUAAAUUUUUGUCAAAAACAAGAAUUUUCGUAACUGGAAAUUUUAAAAUAUUAAAAACUUUCAA
rnacentral:misc_RNA from 1 species